GGCUUUCUUGGCUCUAUAAAUGGAAGCCUACAGCACUCGAGUUAUCACGACACUACACACUCUCGCUAAUGUGAAGCUGAACAGAGGACACAUAAAUACCAGUAUAGCAGUCUCUAUACAACCAAGCUUUCAGCUCAAGCACACAUAUGGCUUUGGAAGAACCACACAGGACCUUGGGAAAGAUCCUCUCCAGUUCUGUCAGGUUGGAUGGUAAACGUUGGUGGACAGCCAUUUUCAGGUCUCUCCAGAGAUGCUCAAUUGGGUUUAAGUCAGGGCUCUGGCUGGACCAUUCAAGAACAGCCACGGAGUUGUUGUGAAGCCAUUCCUUCGUUAUUUUAGCUGUGUUCUUAGGGUCAUUGUCUUGUUGGAAGGUGAACCUUUGGCCCAGUCUGAGGUCCUGAGCACUCUGGAGAAGGUUUUUGUCCAGGAUAUCCCUGUACUUGGCCACAUUCAUCUUUCAUUCAAUUGCAACCAGUCGUCCUGUCCCUGCAGCUGAAAAACACCCCCACAGCAUGAUGCUGCCACCACCAUGCUUCACUGUUGGGACUGUAUUGGACAGGUGAUGAGCAGUGCCUGGUUUUCUCCACACAUACCGCUUAUAAUUAAGGCCAAAAAUUUCUAUCUUGGUCUCAUCAGACCAGAGAAUCUUAUUUCUCUGUUUUUUAGCAAACUCCAUGCGGUCUUUCAUGUGUCUUGCACUGAGGAGAGGCUUCCGUCGGGCCACUCUGCCAUAAAGCCCCGAUUGGUGGAGGGCUGCAAUGAUGGUUGACUUUCUACAACUUUCUCCCAUCUCCCGACUGCAUCUCUGGAGCUCAGCCACAGUGAUCUUUGGGUUCUUCUUUACCUCUCUCACCAAGGCUCUUCUCCCCCGAUAGCUCAGUUUGGCCAGACGGCCAGCUCUAGGAAGGGUUCUGGUCAUCCCAAACAUCUUCCAUUUAAGUAUUAUGGAGGCCACUGUGCUCUUAGCAACCUUAAGUGCAGCAGAAUUUUUUUUGUAACCUUGGCCAGAUCUGUGCCUUGCCACAAUUCUGUCUCUGAGCUCUUCAGGCAGUUCCUUUGACCUCAUGAUUCUAAUUUGCUCUGACAUGCACUGUGAGCUGUAAGGUCUUAUUUAGACAGGUGUGUGGCUUUCCUUAUCAAGUCCAAUCAGUAUAAUCAAACACAGCUGGACUCAAAUGAAGGUGUAGAACCAUCUCAAGGAUGAUCAAAAGAAAUGGACAGCACCUGAGUUAAAUAUAUGAGUGUCAUAGGGUCUGAAUACUUAGGACCAUGUGAUUUCUGUCAAUAUGGGGUGCUGUGUGUACAUUAAUGAGGAAAAAAAAUGAACCUAAAUGAUUUUAGCAAAUGGCUGCAAUAUAACAAAGAGUGAAAAAUUUAAGGGGGUCUGAAUACUUUCCGUACCCACUGUAUAUGGCAGACAGCACAUGUAAAACACACACUGACAAAUAUAUUGUAGUUUUUUUUUUUUUAGAAAAAUUAAAUAAAUUAGGACAGUGUCUGUAUGUCUGUACAGUGGUAAGUCUAGUAAUAUCAUUGGCUGACUCUUAUAAACGUUACUUCCAGGGUUGGGGAGUGUUACGUGAGUGUUGUGUACCUAACACCUUGUGUUGGCUCUGCCUCGUGUGUGGUGUUGCAUAAGCUAUAUUUAUCUAUGAGGCAUUAUGCAAUAUGCUUUACCUUUUACUGUUUGUUAAGCGCCAACUUUUAAUUUGUAUUAAAAAAAAAAAAAAAUGGACAGGUUACUGUGAAAUAAGUUCACAGCCAUACACAAUCAAUUAUGUGUUAGUGUAACGGCAGCUGAGUUUUCAGCAAAUUUAUGAAAGGGUUAAGGCAGCAGAAUGCUACAGGAGAUACAGAGCUGCCUCUCUGAGCAUUGUAAACAGAGCCCUGCUAGUGUUUCCCAUGCAGCUUUGAUGCAGUCUCUUAUCAUAUGGCAAAACCCACAGCCCCUUGACAGCCUUUGGAGUCUCUGAGGUGGAGACGAGCUGGAAGCGGCAUGGGUGUGCUCACUGGAGUGGGAGGGAGGGGGUUUCUCAAAACUCAACAACACACCCACAUGUGGAUUUUAAAACCCAGCUGACAUGCUAGCAUUUAUGAAAACUUAACUCACUGGCAUUCAAAACAUGUGGCUUCAGUCUGCUGCCAGAGGCAUUCUGUUUUUGUUUAUCCUUCACUGACUGCAAAGUUCCUCUCAAGACAGGAACAUCUGAAUCAGACAUUAGAUAAGUAGUUACUGCUUAUGGGAAUUCCAACAAUGAAUUUGGGCAGGAGGGAAUGAAAAUAGAUGGUUAAUUACAGUGCAAACUGAUAACAAGACCAGUUAUAUGCUUCAAAAGAUCAGUGCACUCACACAAUACAGGUAAAAUAACAAGUUGUUAACCCUCUACUGCACACUUUUAUUUUUUUCAUAUUUAGAACAUUUAAUGCCAACAUGUUAACAUAUAAAUAUUUGUAGAGCGACUUUGUCCUUAGCUCAAUAAAAUUUAGUCUUUCAAGAAGGUAAACAUUUAGAGUUUUUUAGAAUUUUUUUACAACAUAUUAUAAUCCAGAAAUUAACCUGUACCAACCUACCCUGGGCUAACUUAUGUUAUUUUCUGUAAUGAGAAAAUAAUUAAUACUGGAUACUUGGCGGUACUUUCAUUGUUAAAAUUCCUCUAUUUCAAGGCCUUGUGCAAAAAACAUAAUAAUAAAAAAAUAUAUAUAUAAUAAAUAUAAAAAUAAAAAAAUAAAUAAACAAUAAGAUAAAUAAAUAAUUUGUAGGAGAAAAAAUACCAUUGUCACCAUGUUUUGUGGGCAUAGUGAUUGGAGUGUCCUUCACAUCCAGCAUUUGUCUGUCUUUCUUUCUUGCAGGAUUGAAGCACAACAACACUCUGUUAUAUAUAGUUAUGGCUAAGUGCAUUUUUAGGUACAGUGUGUAGUGGACUGAGUGCCAAAUCCAUUGCCAUAUGGUGUCAUACUUCUGCUAGAAAGUCGGCAAGAUAGAAUGUUGCUAUGCAACAAAAACAGUGAUCGGCUAUGGGUGCUGUACCAUCAUAUGGUGAACAUAUGUUUUGCAGUAUAACUAUAAAGAGUGUCAAAACUUCAAAAAAUCAAGUCAAGUUCACAACAACUAAGUCUGAUACCAGGCAACGUGUCUGAAUUGCUAAUAUAAACACUAAAAGAUACAGAGAUAAUGAAGGUUGAUGGUAAAAGAGUGAUUAGACAGCACAAGACGACCUCCAUUUGUUUGUUGUAAAGUUGAAGUGGUGUAUAGUUGUUUAGCUUGUGAAGGAAACAGUGUUUCUGAAUGACCUUUGAAAGAUGGAGCUUUCUUGUUCACUUUUAAUAUACUGACUCAUGUUUCUCAGUGAAGAGAAGAGAAGUGAACCGAAAUCUUGUUCACUGUUUUGCUGUAAGCAGCUCUGACUGAAGCGUCAGCUGUGUUUUAUACUCAGAUGUCAAAUGUCUUAGAAAAUGAACAGGCCUGCAUGUUUAAGUUUAUUGGCUUUAGGAUGGAAAUAAAACGUCAGGUCAAAUUAGCAUUAUUGUUGGUGCCACCAAAUUGUUACAUGAUAAACUAAAUCUGGGCUGUAAACAGGGUCUAGUUGCAUAAACAUGGCCACUAUGUUAAGACCAACAAACAGCAGUUAAACAAGUGGUAAACAGUCUUACUUUUCAGAUGCAAAUCAGACCGAUCUGCCUUUUAAUGUAACUCACUUCAAAAAGACCAUUCUUGAAGAACAAAUAAAAAGGUAACACUUUAGUUUAGGGACCAGUACUCACUAUUAACUAGUCAUUUAUUAGCAUGCAUAUUAUUAGCAUACUGGAUUUUUAUUAGUAUUUAAAAAGCACACGUUAAUGCCUUAUUCUUUUUGACCAUAUUUUAAAUAAACUAAACAUAUUUUAAAUAAACUUUAAACAUGACUAUUAACUUAACUAUUGAGGCGAAAAGUCAUAGUUGAUAGUUAAUAGUGAGAAAUAAAUCCCCAACUAAAGUGUGACCAAAGAUAAAUAAAUAAAUACAAUGGUAACACUUUAGUAUAGGAACCAAUUUUCACUAUUAACUAGUUGCUAUUAGCAUGCCUAUUAUUAACACAUUGGGUGUUUAUUAAUACUUAUAAAGCAUUUACACAACAUGAUCAUAUUCUACAUCCCUAAUCCUAUCCAGUACCUAAACUUAAUGAAGCACACAGGUUCGGUUCCCUCAUAGAAUUAGGCAAGAGACAUGAGUAAAGUACAAAUGUUUAUUAAUACAGAAAUGUUUGUUUUUGUGAAAAGUGGGGACAUCCCAUAGGCGUAAUGGUUUUUAUACUGUACAAACUGUAUAUUCUAUCACCCUACACCAACCCUACACCUAACCCUACCCCUUACAGGAAACUUUGUUCAUUUUUACUUUCUCAAAAAAAAAAAAAAAAAAAAUCAUUCUGUAUGGUUUAUAAGCAUUUUGAAAAAUGGGGACAUGGGUUAUGUCCUCAUAAGUCACCCUCUCCUUGUAAUACCUGUGUCAUACCCAUGUCAUUAUACAAAGUUGUGUCCUGAUAUGUCACAAAAACACGCACACACACACACACGCACACACACACACACACACACACACCUGUGCACCCUGAUCACACUAUCCUGGCUGGUUCAUCGGUUCAUCAUCAAAGAAAAAGUGUCAGAUCAAGUGAUGUUGACGGCCUUAUACGGCCCGCCGUGUCUUUUAGUACGGCCUGCUGGAUCAAAUUAGACAGUAAAGACUGCUUUCAGUUUAUGAUGUUGAUACUAUCUCCAACCAGGAGAGGUCGCUAGUUUCCAGCCGCUCCCCGUAUUAAUUUAAGCAUAGGACGUGCACUCUAAUGUAAACAUUCACUAAGAUAAGCAAAUAAUAAAUGAAAAACUGAUCAUGAAAACAGCACUUUCCGGUCAAGAUGGUAAACAGAUUAUAUUUUUACCAAGUUCAAGGGGAUACUCAUAUGUUUGGAUUGUUUUGAAAUCUGUAUUUUACUUAAAUCACCAUCACACCACUGAUCACAAACAACGGGGACGACAGAGUUGCACUUUCCUCAAAUUUCAAAGGUAAAAUUCAUAGUCAACAAAAGCUUUUUGCCAAAUGCAUGACAUAAAUGUUUGCACCGAACUAAGUUCUUAUUAGGGUUUCCACGGGUCCUUAAAACUUCUUCAGUUAAAUAAACAAUUAAGGCCAUGAAAAAAAAAAAAAACUCUUAAAUAGAACAAAAAAGUCUAAAUUAUAAGAGGUCUUUGGGGACAGAAAGACAAGAAUUGCUUUAUGGAUUAAUAUGAUGAUUAAACUUCAAAAGGCUACGAUUUCUCUGAAUAAACUUGAGCGCUGCACGUCAGCUUUACUGCGAACUGCGGUUCCUGGGGAAACCACUAUAUUUCUGCAGUUCUGGAAGUGAAACCUGCUGGCAGAGAACGAAUUAGAUUUUUUUAGUAAGCCCGUCUGCUAUUUUUGCUAUAUAUUUUUAAAUGUGAACCAGUGGAUCGACAAAAAGCUAAUGCAUUAUAAAAAUCUAAACAAUUAAG
ensembl:lncRNA